UAGCAACAUGGAGAGCUCUUCAUCGUCUGC
rnacentral:piRNA from 1 species